GACGAACGCUGGCGGCGUGCUUAACACAUGCAAGUCGAACGGUAAGGCCCUUCGGGGUACACGAGUGGCGAACGGGUGAGUAACACGUGGGUGAUCUGCCUUGCACUUCGGGAUAAGCCUGGGAAACUGGGUCUAAUACCGGAUAGGACCACUGCCUGCAUGGGUGGUGGUGGAAAGCUUUUGCGGGGUGGGAUGGGCCCGCGGCCUAUCAGCUUGUUGGUGGGGUGAUGGCCUACCAAGGCGACGACGGGUAGCCGGCCUGAGAGGGUGACCGGCCACACUGGGACUGAGAUACGGCCCAGACUCCUACGGGAGGCAGCAGUGGGGAAUAUUGCACAAUGGGCGCAAGCCUGAUGCAGCGACGCCGCGUGAGGGAUGACGGCCUUCGGGUUGUAAACCUCUUUCAGCACCGACGAAGCGCAAGUGACGGUAGGUGCAGAAGAAGGACCGGCCAACUACGUGCCAGCCGCCGCUGUAA
rnacentral:rRNA from 1 species